rnacentral:lncRNA from 1 species
UGUACCUCCUGGUACAUUAGUUGCUUUCUUGUCAUCCUUGAUCUACAACAAUAACCGUUACUUCAUAGAAAUAAAUGUUGCCUUCUUAUCAGUUUGAGGCUGCUUCUUUCACCGCAAAUUGCUCUGACAAAAUGUGUAGACAUGUAUCAACCAUCCUUCAAAAAAAUGUGUUCAAUAUAGAUAACUCGGCUUCCCAAAUCAAAUCAUAAAGUAAAGGCCAAAGGUCUGCAAGUUAUGUACUUGGUUAGUAUACUGAAUGAACUUGUCAAAAGAACAAAUAUUAUGCCAGCAACCAGCGUGAACACGAACAUCUCAUAAAAGUAUUGAAAGUCUGAAUCCUGAGACUAUCUAGCCACUGCAUCGAGGCGGUUGACUCUACAGUUGGAAUUCACAUGUCCAAACAAUACGGUGUGAGGCACUAUGAGAAGGUGCCCCUAAUGUUUGAAUGUGAUCGGAACUUGCAAUUUUCCCCUCUGGAAACAGUAUGCAACUUCAAGUAGUUGAAGGUAUGUGGAUGUAGAGGAAGAUGAGAGUAUAUGUUGAGCCUAAGGUUUGAAUGCUAAUGCCAUAUUCAUGCAGAAGGAAAACAACACCGUUCUCACAUAAAAAAUUUAUAUCAAAGACACUGUUAUCCAUAAAUAUCUAGUGUAGAUGAUGCAGAAUAAAAUUGGAAUGUGCCUCCUUAAACACUGAGUAGACUCAGGGUCCACCUCGGCGCCCUCCGCUCCCCACCUCCUCAGCCUUGUUGCCAGGUAGUACCGCAUACUCACUGUCUGCAAGCUCACCAUCAUGUACACCCGCUCCUGCAGCACGAAGCGCGUCGACCCAAAAUUAAACCAUGAAGCAUCAGAAACUAAAUGAUGUUAUAGCACAAACAACAUUCAGUUCUACAGCGAAGUUGAAGCCAACUUGAUAGUUAGCACUAUAUAAUUUAGAAAUAUGUAUUGACAAUCAAAAGUGCUUCCUGUAAAAAAAUAGAGGUUAUGCACCUCCAGGAGCCUCCAUUUGACCACGCCAACUCACCCAAAAAACUGGAAGUCACACAAUGGGUCGUGGCUUUAAAUAACAAAACUGAACCACCUAGAAAUCAGGAAGUCACACAAUGCUAACAACAUAUGAAUUUAACCCAUAUCAAAUGUUAAACGAAUAAUUACUUUCUAAUUUAAAGGAGAUAAAGAGUUCAGAAUAGUAUGAAGAAUAUAUAAAUGAAAAUCAGCUAUGAGACAUGGAUGUCAGAUGGCUCGCUAUGUUUUGUAGCACCAAUCUGUGUAUCCAAAUUGAGAUGCUGAGAAACAUGAAUAAGAACUGUAAAAUCAACAAAUCUUAGCAGAAGAUAUGAAAGUGUUACCCUAAUUUUCAGAGUUCAGCAAUGACAUAUGGUUCAAAGUUCAGCAAUGUACAAGCACACAGCAGUACAUAAAAGGAUAUCUCAGGAGGAGCCGAUGCUUACCUAUUGGAAAAACGAGUGUUGUGCGGAGAUCUGCAGCAACGGACGGCUGCCUUCGCGAGGGGCGCAGCGGGAUGAAGAGCUCGUGGAUGGAUCUCUACCGACUACC